rnacentral:rRNA from 1 species
GAUGAACGCUGGCGGCGUGCCUAAUACAUGCAAGUCGAGCGAAGCGGGGACGGGUGAGUAACACGUGGAUAACCUCCUAUAAGACUGGGAUAACUUCGGGAAACCGGAGCUAAACCGGAUACUUAUGGUUGGUCUUGCGUUGGAUUAGUUAGUUGGUAAGGAAACGGCUUACCAAGGCAACGAUGCAUAGCCGACCUGAGAGGGUGAUCGGCCACACUGGAACUGAGACACGGUCCAGACUCCUACGGGAGGCAGCAGUAGGGAAUCUUCCGCAAUGGGCGAAAGCCUGACGGAGCAACGCCGCGUGAGUGAUGAAGGUCUUCGGAUCGUAAAACUCUGUUAUUAGGGAAGCGGUACCUAAUCAGAAAGCCACGGCUAACUACGUGCCAGCAGCCGCGGUAAUAC